GGGAAAAUGGCUCAGUGGUAGAGCACUUGCCUUGCAUGCAUGAGGCCCUGGGCUCGAUUUCUCA
rnacentral:tRNA from 1 species